GGGGUCCCUCCUCUUGCCCCCAGCUGUAGCCUUUAGACAUCCCUGCUUGUCGUGUCCCAAGGAACCAUCCUGCCGCACACAAAGAUAGAACAUUUGCAGUGGAGGGACUUACCAUCUUUCUUUUUUUUCCUCCAUCGUAGCACAGCUCAGCCUCGUGGCUCUCCAGGUAUGUUUAAAAUGUGCUGGUGUGCGUGUACGUCGGAGGCGAGCGUGGAUCAUGCCAAGCGCUGAUCCUGCAGACACUUCAAACAUAGAUAUAAUUCUACUUAAGGAGGUUGUUCCAUUUAAGUCAAAAUACUGGCAUGGGUGAAGCGAAGGGAAGUGUUUCAGGACUGGGGCCUGUGUUUAACUUGCAGAAAAAGUAUUCAUGACACAAGCCAGAAUCUUUAACCCAUGUGAGCUGCAGCUCCGAGCGCGUCUCGCUGGCUUCGGUUUCUGACCUACUUGAGAAAGCAGUGCUCAGCUCGAGGCUGUGCGGCUGCUCGCGUGGCCUCGGAGGGGCCGGCUCGGAGGAGACACGGCGACAGCAGUGGCUCCGAGCUCCGGCCCCGUCCACACGCGGUGCCUGCAAGAGUUAAAGCCGAGCGCUGGGGCAGCUCAUGUGUUCUGUGUGUGUGCAUACUUUCCUAAUCUUGACAUGGGGUCUGAGCUGCAGGCUCUCAGGGCGUGCGUGAAGUUGGCUGCCACCUUUCUUCCCCCUGAAUCUGGCUGUGGCUCAGCGCAGGGAUGCUCCCCGCUGCUGGGAUCGCUGGCUGCUGAAAUCUUGUGCCUAUGGGGUCAGCUGGGCCAAAGGGUGCCCUGGCAUAGCUCGUGCUGCCUCCGCAAGGGAGUGGCAGAGGGAAGGAGAAGGGCUGCAGCGUGACCCCUCUGCUGCUGCUGGAAGAUGGCUUGCACGCACGUCGCGCUCUUGGGCGAGCUCUGCUGUCAGCAUUUGGCUGGGGAACAGCUGCCUCCGAGGAUGGGGUCUGGUUUAAGACAGGGCAACAGCUGUACGGAGCGGGGCUCUGGGAAGAGUAGGGAGAGAAAGAGCGUGCAUUUCGCUCCUUUAGGUGGCAAAGUCCUAAGGGCAAUGUGGGCCUUGGCCAUCCAGUGAGGAGAACCGCUGCUCCUUCGCCUCGCGGCGUGGCUGUCAGAAGUCACCGAGCGCUUUUGGACCAGAGUCUGGAAACGAAAGCUGCUCUUUUUUUUCGCUUAGGUCUCCUCUGAGAGGCUGCCAGUGACCACCUCGCCCCACCCUGCCGACGUGUGGGUGGGAGGGGGGCAGCCAGCAGGAGGGAACAUCACCAAACGGCAGAGCAGCUCCUUGGCUCGCCGCCACCAACAGGAGCAGCAGCAGCUGCCGGGAUGGCCCCCGGAGCCUCACUGAUGUCAGCAGAACCAGCGCUCCUUAAAGCCCGCACCGCAUGCAGGGGGCCGGGGGGCACAGCUGGGAGCUGCAGUAAGAGGAGAAGGCAGGGUGUAAAAAACAUUACUGCUUUUCUUUCUUUCUUUUUUUUUUUUCUUUUCUUUUUUUGCUCUCUGAAACAGACCUCUGCUUUCUGCAGGGGUGGGAACGCUUUGCAUGAGCGAGCGAGAGUUAGGAGAAAUGCUUAUAAGUAGAACAAGUUACCAAAAGCAAGAAGCAGAAAGGAGAAACACUGUAAGGUUUGUGUGUGUCUGCUGCACGUCUCUUCUGCUUGCUCUUUUCUUUUAAGAGAAACGUGGCUGGGAACAGCUGGGUGCUGUCGGAUUAAUCCGUCAGUGCCAUUCCCUUCUCUCUGUCCCGUGCUGUCUCUGAGAAGUUGCCAUACUGUGGCAGAUCGUACUUUCAAACAUCGUACUGUGUUUGAGAAGCAUCUGGCUUGCCUUGGGAUGCUGAAUGAGAUAUAGCAGGUUGCAGUCCUGCGUGUGCUCUCUUUCCCUCCUGCCAUUACUUGAGCAGGGGAGGGGAGCGCGCAUCAAUCAUGCUGCUGUUGGCAGCUCCCUUCCGCUCCCCUUUGCUGUUGCAGAGAUGGCACCCGCACCACUGGUGUGGUUUACUGAGGCUGUCUUUCCUUGUGUGUUAAUAGCAAGAGUCCCUGAUAGCAAAAGGCUCUGUGAGUGAGGGCUGUCUGACCUCUCUGCUGUGGGAUACACGGUGCAAAAUUUCCUGUGAUUGAUAAUGAAGUGAAUGCAAGUUGCUCUCAGGCCGUAGACGACUCCUUCUGAUGUAGCGUUGGUGCAGUUUCCCAAAGUCACAACCUGUGGCUUGAGAUGCUGAGGGAAGAGGAUACCAGCUUUUCCAGAACUGUGCUGCUCAAUCGCAGAACAAGGUUGGACUGGACGUGAAACUGGAUUCCAGGGUGACGUGGUGGUGAUUGCUGUCUCUGUGGGCUUUGCUUCUUCCCACAGUUGGGCAGUUGAUUUUCCCAGUAGGGCUGUGCCGGCUCAGUCUUGCUGCUUGUACUGUGGUGUUACCCCUGCACAGAAGCUGUAUUUGAAUGGCUUACAAGGGCUAUACAGUGCACUGAUACAGGUGACAGGGGUAAGCCAGCCUAUGCAGGCUUGUUGGAAAGCUGAAUGUGCAAAACGCUGUCUCCAUCAAGGCUGAAGUAAUAAUACGUUGAGAGAGUCUGUCAUGAAAAACAAACAGCGUAGCACAGGCAUUUGGGAAGGACUUCGUGCUCUUUUAUAUGGCCAAUGCUCUUUGUUAACUCAGGUUAACUUACAAGUUGGAUUAACAUUUCCUAUGUCAUUUGGGUAUUCUUGGAGUAAUUAGCAGAAAUGACACGGGGUCACAGCAGUUGUAUGAGACAGAAUAAGCAUCUGCUUGUGUUCUUUUCAAUCCAGACAAUGGCAUGAAAAACACGUUUAAUGAAGGUGACAGAGACAGUAACAGAGUCAGCAAAAGAACCCAAAUGCUCUAUAUCCAGUGCUGUGUCUUCACCAUUAGAUCACGCUUCCUGUCUAGGCAGAUGAACCCACAUAAAACCCCUGGUUCACAAACAGAUGACUUUCAAGUACUGCAGCGUGGUAAAAUACAGCUAGGGCUAAUAUAUUUGCUCUGACUUUCAUCUUGAGUGCCUGGUGGAACACCUGUAAGUAUUUACAUUUUAACAUGAGCUUUUGUGCUUGUGAAAGCAGACAGUUUGACAGCAAUGACCCCUCACACAAAAGCUUGAAUAAGCGAUGAACUUCCAACAAAUCCAUGACCUGAACUCUGCUGGGUGCAUAUUGAAGGCGACGAGUUAAUAUGGCCUGUGGCCAUACCAACAAGGAGCCUGGCUUUGUGCUGGACUCUUCUGAUGGAGGUGGUCUGCAGACGUGUCUCUCACCACUAUCCCUGCCCAAAGGCCUUCACAUAAGUUCUGGAAAAUAAGAGCGCCCGAGCUCGCUGCCUGGGUGAAGGCCUUAGGCAAAUGUUUGCUAUAGAAAUGACCUCAGUGUUUCUGGAGGUUUCUCAUCCUGCUGCUUGCUCUGGCCCCAGGUGAAGGGCUUGGUUAGCGUAGAUGAGAAGACGGAAGGGUGAACGUGUCUUGUGCCUCCCGUGUGCUGCACUUCAGAGUUCGUUGUGCUUGAAUUCAGUGGAGCUGAACUUCAGUUCUGGGCAGCUCUGGUGUUGGACGUGUCCCUGCAGCAAGCGUGGUAACCUCUGGCCAUCAGACAGGGAAGACAGCUGUCGUAUGGUAACCUCUGAAUUCAUCCCGACCUGAAUCAUGCUGAAGCUGCGGUUCCAGUGAUGUUUCGCCAGCUCUGCCCUGUCCUGGAAUGAGCAGUUCCUGGUACCUGCUUCUCCACUGAAACCUGGGGUCAGAGCAGGAAAUGCCUCUUCGUGCUGCUGCUGCUGCUGGAAGAAAUGCCUCUGGAUCUUUGGCUGAAGGUUCUUCAGUCCCGUGCAGUAAGUCACGCUGCAUUCACCUGCAGAAUUGGAAACUGGAGGGAAUCCUGUUUGUGUCUAAUAACAAGUCAGGCCAGAAUCCCUUCUCGCUCAGGAUGCCAACUGAUGUGGAUCUAUCAAGAUAGAGCGUGGCAAAGGGACAUCUGUUGUUGAUGCUUUCCUGGUAUAGUCUUCCAGGCGCAGCUUCUGGAAUCUUGAGCCAGUGAAUCUGUACAGAAGUUCAGUAUUUAGGUUCGAGAAUCCUUUUUCCUGAGCCUGGCUUUUUGAACCUGCACAGACACUUGGCUCACGUUGUGGUGAGCUUUGCACUUUAGCUACGUGCUUUGUUGGAGAAGAGGGUAAAAACCCAACUUUCUAAACCUGCCACUGGAUACUUCCACUUGAUACCAUUUAUGGCUGUGGGAAAUAAUGAGUAAUGCAUUGCUGCUGACCUCCUCCAUGCCUUGCAGGACGGUGUGGAUCUCUGUUGCAUCACCUCAGCGGCCUUCCUCCCAAGCUGGAGUCUCCAUCUGAGUGUCAGUGAUAAUGCAGAAGCUGUUCCAUGCUCUUGAUUACACUGCUCACUUGUGAAAGCUAUGGUGUGCCUUGUUAACAUCUAUCACAGACGCAUGCCAAAUGUACUUUAUUUGCCUACAUAUUUAUUUCUGUAAGACAUAUACUUGGACAGGCUUAAAGAUUUACAGGUGCUGCCAGGAUUCUUUUCUUCAGCAGUUUUUUUUUUGGGGGGGGGAGCUUUCUCAGUACUGGCACAUUACAGACAGGAGAUGCUGACUGCUAAGGGUGUUUGAAGAUCUGGCUCAGUUGCUUCCAUCCUGAUGACAUGAGAGCUGUUUGUUUAGAUCAUGCUUUGCUCUCUGCCAUCCUCCCCACGUACAUGCCUGGUUUCUAGGAGUCGUGUCCCUGCAUCCCUUCACGAAGUAUCUUUUUACUCCUACAGAUGGGCGCCUGAAAUGUACCCUGCACAUCUGAAACUUUAGUGAGUGGAAUUCAUCCAGAGACAGGGGCUUCAGCCCUUGCCAGCUGUGGGGGUAUUUCUUUGAGCUCUGCCCGAACCAAGUGGUACUGCCACCAAAAGAUAGCUUGCUUUCCUUGUCCACAUGCUGUACUGCUUACCCGGGGUGGUAGCUGGGGUUCAUCCAUCUCUAUGGUCUCAGCAGCUGUCAGAGGAAUUGCUAUGUGCUCCUUGAAGUGAACUGCUUACUGCUGUAACUCUGUUAUAUUCCUAGCCCUUUCUUCUGAUGAUUUCCUGACCUAUUUGUCCACCUGUAGGACUGCUGCCUGUUGCUCGACCUGACAAUUUUAACUUUUUGCAACCAGAAGAAUUUUGCCUCAACGCUAACCAUGCUGCUGGUGGUUACUUACGUUAGAUCGCUCUCGGGGCACUUCACAAAUCGGUGCCUACGCUACUACUGAAAUGCAGCCACUUCUGAAGUAGAAAGUAAAAAAGGAGAGGUUGAGAUCAGGUCACGCUAACCCAUCUCUCUGUGUAAAGUACUGCACAUUCUUCAGUACUGACAUAGCCUGAAAGGGAACCACGGCUUUUAAAGCCCUUCCUUACUUAACCUGUGUACCAAAUGAUGCGUGCUACUUGAUUUGUGUUUAGUUUGUGGAAAAAAGCUUUAUUCCAGCUUGCCAGAACUGGGAACUUCAUUGCAGGUAAUGGGAAUGAUGACAAUGGUGAUUUCAAACCUUUUAGUAACGAAAGCAUCUCGCAGCCAGAAAUCCAAUUUGUCUAGGUUACAUAUUGCCUUUAUUAAGCAUCUCCGGAUUUAUGAAAUAUAGCAAUCUUGUGAGAAACCCUAUUCAUCAUGCAAUGCUGGCUUAUAAUGAUAAUCUUUCAGUGUAGCUGUGUAUAAAACCAUUCUAACAAGCUGUUGAGCACUUAGUCCUGUGCUCUGUGGGCCUUGUGAUUUAUGUAGUGUUUGGAAGUAGCUAGCAUAUCUGUUCAGAGAAAGGAGACUGGGGCUGUCCUUUUAAACUAUCAAGCUGCGUUUGUAGCUCUGGCUGUUGAAUUUGAAGCUCAUCUUGUAGUGCUCUGCUGUUGCUGUAUGCAUUUACUAUCCUACAUUUAAAUAUAGUAUUCAAAGGGUUGCAUGAGGACUGAGAAACUUAGCUCUAGCGUGGCAUAUGCUUUGCAAGGCCCUGUCUGCUCUUGGGAGUUGAACCAGGAAAAUCUAAAAGCUAAUGUGAAGUCAUUGUAUGUUUGAACAGGAGAGCAUGUCUGCGUUGCUUUGAUUAUAAUUGUUUUCUUGCAAUCAUAGCAUCGCCAAGGUUGGAAAAGAUCACUAAGAUCAUCAAAUCCAACCAUCAACCCUUCACCACCAUGCCCCUCUAACCCAUGUCCCUCAGUGCCACAUCUGUACGUUUCUUGGACACAGCUCUCAAACCAUUGAAACGGCCACAUCUUCUAACAAAGCAAGGGGCAGGAGGAUAAGUGGAAGGACCAAGGAGAAUUCCUUUUUGCCAAUUUAUCUUCACUGGGUUGUCAAAUCAACCUUAGAUGAACCAGAAAGCGUUGCUUGCUGGGAUGGAUCCUGGAAUCCAUGCAGCUCUGCUGCCGGGUUGAUUAAUUCCUGCUCACAGAGCCUAAUCCAGGCUCUGCUCCAUGGGUGGGGGAUCAUUAGCUGUGUCUGUUUUAUCUGUCUUGGUGUAUAGGAACUGCAUCUGCUCUGUUUCUCUCGCAGGGCUUAAAUCUUUAGUGGCUUGGAGUUGCAGUGUGGAAAGAACUGCGUGGUCCUUUUCAAACAAAAUAUCUGGAAGGUGCUUUAUUUUUAAUGUUAGUAUAUUCUUAUCUUCACUGUGGCUUCCAGCUUCACUGAAGGUAAGUGUGAGCAUCCACUCCAUGGUUGUUAUCAGUCCAUAGGCGUCUUUGUACCGUGAUAUCAGUACUGAAGGAGUCGUAGGCUUAUGUUAAAUAGAGUCACUUUCCCCUCUUUUGCCCCUUUUCUUUUCCCACUUGGCCCUGUCUUUCAGGUACAUUGUGGUACUUGCUUUCAAAGGUUGUAUUUAACACCAUUGGUGUUUAACGCUUCCCCCCCACCACCACUUCAAGGCAAGUUUUCUUCCAGGUAUGUGACUGCAAACAAUGCAGAGGGAACAAUCUCAGCAGAGAUCUGCGCAUGAUGUUUGUUAUCUCUUUGAAGCUGCCUUCUUCUUAGGACUCUUUUGAUAUUUAGGUAUUUCCUCCACUCUUUCCCUUUUCUGGUGCAUCUUUGCCAGGAUAACUAAAGGCUAGUAACAAACUAGUGUCAAAUUAGUGACCUCGGAAUUAUUUCCUUGGCAACAUAAAUGCGUGUUUGACAUCACAGCAUGAAGAAGCAGUUUAUAAUCGACAGCAAAACCAGCUUAAGGGGAGGGCUUUCUUUUUUUGUUUUCCACGGUUUAUCUCCUCACCUCUAGCUGCUCGUUCCUGCCCGUGUACUUUAGCUUGCAUCCUCUUCAGAGGUGCUGAUACAAGUGGUUGUGGGCUUUCCUCUGGAAGUGAAAUCACGGAAACGGUCUGAGUCAACAGUCCUCUUCCAUUUUUUUUCUGUCUUACAGCAGUCACGCCCUGCAAACUUUUGUUUUGGUUGCUAGAAGGGAAGCAAACUGUAGGCUUUCCCAGUAUGGGAAUGAGCAGCUGGGGAAAGAGGAAGAGCUUCUGGGAGGUGCUUACCCUCAGUGCAGGAAUCACAAAACUACGUGCUGUUUGCACAAAUAGGCUUGAGAGUUUCAGCUGGGAAGCUGGUCUCUUCCCACUUUACCACGCAUUGAUGCAAAGCUCUUUAUUGCAUUAGCUGUGCAAAAAAUCUGUUGCUUCUGUAAAUUGUGUCGUCUUCGGCUGUUCUUUCUGCUACCAGAGUCAUUUCUAUCUUAAGAGAGUAUCUUCCUUAAUUACGCUUGAUGUUGUGUAAGGAAACCGUGUUUCAUCAUGUCGGAUUGUGGUCCAGGUUUUGUUCUGGCUGAGCUGGUACAAAUCUCACGCAUCUUUGCCAACGUUGGUGCAGAGUCUUUAGUGGGGGAAGUCGGUUUGCAUAGAGUAUCAGGAGCAGAGUGUCAGUCACCGCAGAGAGACUGUACCGCUGGAGCUGAACUAACAGUGAGGACUUACAGAGAAUUUACCAGAGAGCCCAAACUUCCCUUACGAGGAAUACGUUCAUGUUAAAGGCCAACUAAAUGCUGAAACAGCACAUUUCCAAGGAAGCUGCCAUAUUGCGAAUGAAGGUGGACCGUGAAGGGGCUUUGUGGCAUAUACACAUUUGAUACAGGCUCAGUCAGCGGCUGUCAUCAGUUCCAACAGUCCAUUUGCUUUUACAUUUCUGAAGUUACAGCUUUUCCAGGGAGCAGCGUGUAAAACAGGACGGCCCGUAGAAAAGCUGGAACUCCAGCCAAAAGACACCUCCUUUUUGUGUCUGCGUGUUGCAGCUGUCUAUCUCUUGGCAGCAGGCAGCGUGGUGUAGAAUGUGAUGUUUCAGUGCUGAAGCAUGAAAGAGUGAAUUAAGGAGUUCAGGACUUAAAAUGGUUUUCUUCUCUAGGGGAUUUCAGUCUUCAUCAUCGCUUAAUUAUUUGGAGGCUAUUUGCAGAGGUGUUUAUUUCUUUCAGUAAUUCUUUAUACUCAAAAUAUGAGAAACUGAGACAGGUCACUAACCCUUUUCUCAGUUGUUCUACACUUCAGUAAUCAGAUGAAUUGUAGUCAGUUGCAUGGAUGCCCAGCUGGGAAGAAAUAUGAAAAAGGGGAUGUGUGUAUUUCUUAAGGGGAAGAGAGGAGGAAAGAAGAGUCUGAACACUUGAUCAGUGAAAUAGAAUUGCGUGUAAGCCAAGUGCCGUUUUGGUUUAGGAAUGCCAGAGCAGCUAAUGUCAUUUCAGUAUUGGUUAUGCUGUUUCUGUACAAACUAUGGCUGGCAUCAUAACACCUUUAAUCUCCCUUAGUUACGCCUGGAAAAAGAGAAAACUUUGCAAAAUGAGCCAAGAUAGAUUCGCUCAGUCUGAUAACGUGACACUGGGAGCACUUGUGUUCCAGGGCACGUGGGUGUCCAGCAGAAUGGCACAGGAGAGGUGAGAUGACGCACUGCAAGGUUUCCAGGUGAGAGCUCUUUUUUGUGCAAGCAGUCAGUUAGGUGGGUGUUCCUGGAAUGUUGCAUGGACACGGUGUCUGAGGAGUCAGAGCCCACCGUUCCUACACAUAGGGUCAGAGGAACAACGGCCAUCCGUGCAAGGUACAGUUACCCACCUGCACUGUGUAGUCUGAGUAGGCAGGCAGGGGCUGGUUGUGCUGCCCUUGCGCUGGCCAGGAUCGCACAUCUCUGCCUUGAAGAUGGUUGCUCAACCUCCGUGGAGUCUGUAAGUCACCUUGGGGAGAGGAGAAGGAUGAGCACUUGGCGCCUGGGGCCUGGCUGUUAGGCUGCGCUUCCCUUGCGCGGUGCAGGGCUGCCUGGCCACGUUCUUGCAGCAAAUGGAGGAAGUGGCGCUGGCAGCAGCCCUCGUGCUGGAUCUCCUUGCACUGGGGGGCUGGAUGCAGGUCGCAUACAGCACCAAGGCGGAGACAACAGGAAAAAUCCAUAUUUGUGGGCUAUCGGUGCAGCGAGACAAACUUUCCAGAGCACUUCACUGUGGAGGGACAGAGAUUGUUUCUGCAGGUGCCGUAAAACAGGAAUAGCCUUGGAGCAGCUGUGGCUUUUCACCUGUGUGCUUUCCUCUCCUCCUCCUCCUCCCCCCACCAGGAGUAAGUGAAGGACGGGUUGCAUGUGAAUCACCUCUGCGCCUACCUAACUUCUCCUGUCCCAGCAGCAAAAGACAGAGAAGGCCCCUGUCCUGACAGGCAGAAAGGGUGUGUGUCUCAAUUGUGUGAGGUCAGCUGAGUUAGCUGAACGCAGUAAAAAAACACAGAGGCCUCUCGAUGCUCCUUGGGUAUAGCCUGCCGUGUCUGAAGCCGUGCUUGUGGCUCUGUGAGACCAUCUAAUGUGCUAACCUGCGUCUUAAUGAACAUGAAGGUGGAUUUUUGGAAAUGUUAAUCUGACUCAACUGAGCUAACGUGACGGUAGCUCUCAGAGAACCUGUCUUGCCCACAUGGACGAGCCUGCUUAAGUUAGUAGGACAAGCACCAGUCCUUCUAAUGGCCUAGUUAAGAUGAUUUAAGAUGAUUUGCCCUUUUUUUUUUUCCCUCCACAAAGGUAAGUGCACCCUGCAAGAUGAGCAAAGGCCGCAGGAAAAUGUUCAUAUUUGCGAUGUUGAAAUCUAUGGAUCUAAACCAGGAGAUGCUUUUUUUUUUCUGCCUUUGUGCAGCUCUCAUCACCUUGGUGCAGUUCUCACAUGGGUGUGUUGUGCCUGGCACUCCUUCACAGCACACCUGAAUGCUAUUCUAUGCACGAGUUAAAUGGCAGCGUGAUUGCAUUGUACCUUGAAAUGCUUUGCUGAGUGGCCUUACAGAUGACCAGGGCAGCUGGGCUCCUGGCAGUUUGUUCAGAGCUAUUUAGGAGUGUGCUAGUCGGCGUGUCAAAGGUAGAAGGCACUAAAAUACCUAUGUGACACCUCAGUCUUUCUUCUUUUAAAUGUUCCACUUAUGACAGACCAGAAGAGCAAGCACUUGAUGAGAGAGUAUUAAAACUGAUAAAACUCGAACCCCUAAACAUCUAGCUCCUUUUCCUGCUCGUAGUAGGUAAAAAGGCUCGGUUUUGUUUUGGUUUUAUUUUGAAAGCGGGGAAAAAGUCUUCUGGAGAUAGGAAACCACUCAGAAGUUACUGUUAAGCCAGCUGUGUAUUGUCUGGUUUUCAAAGCAGUCAGGCGGUCCAUGGUUCUAUGAAGGUGGAAUGAUUUUGAAAUGAGGGCUGUGUGACUGCUUGAGUACUUAGACACAGGCUCUGAAAUGCUGAAUAACAGCAAUUCCUGCGAGCUUCACAAGGAACGCUUCUGGAAACUGCUCUUGAUGCACUGUGUGCAAGCACUACAAGUGCAGGUAAAUAGUUCUCUAAAAUAUUUUGGCACGCUGAGAAAACUUCAGUGCGUGCUACUUGGAAGCUGAACACUAUAGACUUUUCGUGGCUAAGAUCAGUUUAAAUAGGUGAGCUUUUCUAACUUCUGUGUGCACGAGAGAGGGGAACAGAAGGGCAAGUAAAAAAAAAACUAGGAGGAAAGACCUCGCUGCUGACUUGGGAGAUGUGUUUGACCUCCUUAGCCUUAUGCACUUGUCUGUGGUUUUCAGCCAAAGGCUCCCACUUUGAGAGAGGCUUGCUUCUCGUGCUGAACUAUUUUUUGACGCAGUGAAUGAAUGCAAUAUGUUAACGCUCCUGUAAGCCCCAGAAUUGCUUGGCUGCCCCUUGCCCUGCCUGCCUCAUACUGGCUGAAAAGGUACCAUUGUUUGUUCUGCAAACAGAGGGUGAUGUUUGUUUCCAAGGUGACUGUGGCUCUGUUGCUGCCCUCUAGUACAAAAUUAAAAUGGCUUUAAACACCUGAGAGCAUCCCACUGUCACUAGAGAUGGUGGGAGGGAGGAAAGAGCUGUUUUGUAUUGAUCUCUGGGCUGUCUAUUAGAAUAAAGACAAAGAAAGCGUCCAUUAGCUAAGAAGUGGCGAUGAAUGCAUUUGGUUUAUAUUACAAAACGUUAUCCAUAAGUAGUACACAGAUACAGCCAUUGAAACACUUGUUAAUUCUAAGGAUGCCAGUGAAUGUAAAGUCUUUCAAACAUGUUAGUUAUCGUUUCAGUUCACAGUAGGAAUAUUCUGCUUUUUCAGUUAGCUAAAUCAGAGGAUAUACUGAAGAUGUUGCUCAAGUGAAGAUGUAUCAGCUUCCCAAAAGGAAAGCUGGAAGGGAAUAUGAGCAGUCCUGCUAGACUUGUGGAUUUUCAGAUUGUUUUGGAAAAUGAUUAUUUGGCAAUAAAACACACAACCCCAGAGAGAAACUCCCAGCAGUCAGUUCUUUCGUUGCUUUUGUGCAUUCUUGGAUUCCAUCAUUCUACAUCUAUGAUUCUCAGAGUAGCGCCUUGCUUUUAAACAUCUGGGUGGAUGGAUUAGAAGCAUUUUAGUAUGCUCUCCCUGUGCUGCCUGCUGAUCUACUGAUACAUCUGUUCAGUAUAGGGGGGAGUAAGUUGGGGGGAAAAAAAAGCAAACAACUUUUUUUAAUUGGUCACGGAUGCUGCUGGCAGAACUUUGCCUUCUUCCCCAUCAGGUUUUGUACAGUUCAUACCCAGGUUUCAGUAAACAUUAACCACUUUUAUCAGGGCUCACAGCAUGCUGAAUGGUUAGCAAAGAGCAUGUACUGAGAGGGACAGAGAAAAUGAACAAGUCCAAGGUCAAAAGGAUGGUAGAUUUUUCCUUGAUUAAAGUACGUGGUGGAGAAGGUUGAUGAUACUUGGUGGACAAAGUAGGCCUGUGUGAGUGACCUGGUUCUUGUCCUUGGGCUUUUGUCUGAGUAAAGGCAGUCGGGUGUUCUGUGAGGAGGAUGCGCAUCAUCAGUAUUUCUCUGGUCUAGUGGGAUACUCAGACGUUGUCAACUUCCUUCAUGCUCAUAUUCAGGGCAACAUGAACUCUUUAUGCCCUGGACCAAUCCCGAGCAAAGUGUAAUCUCUGCUAUCACCGUCAUAUCUUUAUGUAGACCUGCUCCUGCCCAGCAUCCACAAAGCUUGCGUUGACUUCAGCAGUGCUCACAAGCAGCAGGAGGUUGUGAUUUCCUCCCCUCCCUGCCUUCAUGAAGCAGUGAUACAAAGCCAUCCUGAUUAGACGAGUUGGCUAAGAAACCGUACGGUUUAGCACUUUGCCUCACCUUUCUUUCUCAUGGGUGGCUUGGAUGCUUCGUUAUUGCUUCUGAGGGGUGCAGCACUGCUAAUUUUUCUGCAAAGUGAUUUGCUGUAGUGAUGAAAAAGUAGUUGAUCAGCUUAGCAAUGAAAAUGAGAAAAACUGUAGUUAAUUAAAUGAUUUGAAGUUGAGGUGUGAAAGUUUUGAAAAGAACAUGUGGCCGACCUCAGUGAACAUCUCCAGAGAAGGAGACUCCACAACCUCUCGGACAGCCUGUUCCAGUGCUCUGUCACCCUUAAACUAAAGAGGAUGUGUUUUUGUUUGUUUGUUUGUUUGUUUGUUUGAAGUUCAGAUGGAACUUCCUGUAUUCCAGUUUGUGCCCGUUGCUCCUUGUUGUGUCUCUGGAUAGUGCUGAGAAGAGCCUGGCCCUACCCACUCAGUCUUCUCCAGGCUGAACAGCCCCAGGUCUCUCAGCCUUUCCUCACAAGGGAGAUGCUCCAGGCCCCAUCUUGGUGGCCCUCCGCUGGACUCUCUCUAGAAGUUCCCCGUCUUUCUGGAACUGAGGAGCCCAGAUGUGGGCCCAAUACUUCAGAUGUGGCCUCAGCAGAGCAGAGGAGAGGAAGAGAAGAACUUCCCUUGACCUGUUGGCAAAUUCUAAAGUUAUUUUUAAUUGUGCAAAUCAACAUAUCCUGUCCCUCCUCACUCCAGUCAAAUAACAUUUUGCGAAAGAAAGAAGCAGCAGCAGUCACCUGCGUGUUUCCUAGAAGUUGAGAGGAAAAAAUCGUUGAGAGGUUGUACUCACUGGAAAAACACAGAUUUCCUCAAAUGACACAUCAAACACGAAAGAAAUCCAAACCGCCUGUGAAUGAUCUGACAGUAGUUUGAGAAACUCCCUCUGCUGCGUGCCCCUCAAAUCAGAAACGUGUGCGCACAGUUAAAAAUCUCAUCUUUGUGGUGACACAGAUGAUUCAGUGCAGGAAACGAGAAGAAUCUCAUUCAGCAGCUAAGCAUUUGUGGGGCGGGGGUGUGAGGUUCAUGGUGUUCAGCACGCCCGGCUAGAGAGCUUUGGGCUCCUUUCUCCUGAAUUUUCUGCUGAUUUAAAUCAGGGCUGCUACCUGAAGCAUCGGUGUGAGAGGCAAAUCCUUCUUCUUCAUUCUACUUGGAUCAUCUGAGAGAGCGAAGAAGGACAGGAGGGGAAUCCGUAGCUGUUACUUUCUUAAUUUUAACUGCAGAUAUUAGCAGUGCCUUGUAAUGAGAGGUGCAGGGUGGGCAGGUCAGCGGAUGGACUGCCUGUCCUUCCUCCAGCGGUGGCCACAUGUCCAACACCAGCCCUGUGCUAGGAGUGGCGGGGUGAGAGGAGCUGUGGGUGAGGGCUUGCAAUUGCAGCCUCUUCGAAGUCGCUCUCGUUCAUCUAAAUGUAAAAUAUGGAUUGUGGUUUUAGUCUUAAAUAUUUGUGGGAUUUCAGCAAACCACUACAAAGUAAACAGCAGCUAAAAGUGACACAUUUAAGGCAGGAUUUCUUUUUUAUUUUUCUUCUGUGAGGUGAUGUGGACACUUGUAUCAUGUGAGCCAAUGUUCAGACUGAAGACGUUUUCUAAAUUUGAGAAAUUCUUUGUUCAUCUCUUAUUCACAAAAUUCCCUCAAGGAGCUUCACAGUUCUUCAGGAGGCUGGUGUGUAAUUUUCUUUUUAACUCUACCGAUGUUCUUCCAUAGCUGUCCAGGUGAUUUCUCCCCCCUCUCCAAAUAACACAAAAAAUCUCCCUUCCUUUCUUAAUAAGCAGGUCAUGUGUGGUAUUAGCAGCUUGUGAAAGUCUAUGAAGAGAAACUGAAUCGCAUGUGCAAGGUGAUUGUUCCCCUGUAAUCAGCUUUUCAAGUACUGUGUUCGAUUUUGGGCCUCCCGCUACAAGAAAGACAUUGAGGCCUUGGAGUGUGUCUGGAGAAGAGGAGUGAAGCUGUGAGGGCUCUGGAGCACAGGUCUUACGGGGAGUGGCUGAGGGAGCUGGCAUUGUUCAGUCUGGAGGAGGUUCAGGUGAGACCUUAUCACUCUCUACAGCUCCCCAGAAGGUGAUUGUAGUGAGGUGGAGGUCAGCCUCUUUUCCUAGGUCACAGUGGUAGGAUGCGAGGUAAUGUCCAUAAGUUAUGCCAGGGGAGGUCCAGUUUGGAUAUCAGGAAAAAGAAAGAGCAGUGAGGCAGUGGCACAGUCUGCCCACGGAGGUGGUUGAGUCACCGUCACUGGACGUGUCCAAGAAUUGUGUGGAUGUGGCACUGAGACGUGGUUAGCAGGCAUGGUGGAGAUGGCAAAAUGGUUGGACUAGAUGAGCUCAGUGAACUUUUCCAGCCUUAAUGUUUCUAUGAUUCUAUGAAUUUGGAUUCUAAAAUAUAAUGAUUUAGUACUAAGGGCAAGUUUAAUGGGAACAUGUGUGUAAACUUUUGCCUUGUCUGGAAACUUUCCAAGGAAUAUAGCAGUAAAGACGGUUUUUAGAUUGUUUUAAUGCCUCUGCAAAGACAUGAGCAGUUAUGUAGCUGCUGUAGGUCCUCAGCCGAUAACAAGCACUAAUGAAGUGGCUUCUCAUGCAGUUUUAUUGAGAUUAUUUAUGCAAAUACAGUGCAGUGUUUAUUGCAAUAGCAAUUAUUUACAAUUCUCAGUUGGUAAACAAAAGCAUUACCAUUCAUCUCUGGUGCCUUGGUACCUUGUAGUAAGCCUGCUCAGUUUUCCCUGCCAUAACUGGCUGGGUGUGCUCCCGGCUUUUGUUCCUCAUUUCCAACAGCCUCACAGGUUUUGUCUGCUCGUAUCACAGAGGCACAGGAAGGGCUUGCUCUUGAUGAACCACUCAUCCUGUUUUUAGAUUAAAAAAAAAAAAAAAAAAAGUACUGUGGAAAAACACAUAUAUUGUCAGUCCCACAGUCCUGUUUCAUGAAAGGAUCUCUAAGAGUGGUCAGGUACACUGUGGGCAGGAAGAAUUACACAUGUCCCUUUCUAGAUACCCUUGCGGAGCCUUCAGUGCAUUCUCUUAAAUUUUUGGUGUAGAAAGUCUUUUGACUGUAUCAUGUAGAGGCUCACUCUGUCAACCCUUACCCAAGCUUUCUGUCCUCUGUCCUUUAACUGGGCCUGUCCUGUCUGGGGAAGACAUCUCUUUACCCCAUAACUACCAUGUUCAGGCUCAACUUAGUACAAAACUUUUGUCUUCCUGUAAGAUGUGACAGACCUCUGUGCUGUACAAAUGCUUGCAGAAAACACGAUGGAUACCUUGCUGUAGCCUCGGGGCAGCCAAGAGUGAUUGGUGAGACGUUUCUCAUUCUUGAUCAGUGUGCAGGCAGGCCUCAGCUCCUUUCUGCUCUUAGAGAAACUCUCACUGGCCUUUCUGCUGAACUUCAGGUACAGUGUGUGAUUUUGAGUUGGUUUUUAGCGGCCAGUCUCGGUAGAACAGAGGAGGUUGUAUGUAUUUAUUAAUAUGCUGUACUUUUCCAUUUAGGAAGACUUUUAUGUUCACUUCUGUGGGUGUCUCAUGUAUCUGAGGUCCAAGCAGGAUUUGACCUCAGCGCUGCAGUUUGGGGGAGGCCUGGUACCCACUUCCUGGGUUGAGGGCAGACAGUACGGCAUGGUCCUGCUCUGCAGCAGGACCUGGGUAUCCACAGACGUGGUCUGCACACAAGGGACAUUCUGGGACUUCAGCAGUACACCCACAGCCUUCAUCUGGCAGCCCUCAGGCCAGGAGCACUGUGAAGUGGGAGGCGUAAGGCGUACGACCUGCUGUUCCUGUAGGAGCCAAGUCAGGGCUGCCACUCUGGCAGGGUUUCUCCAUCCAGUGUCUUGUUGGUAGACACCCAGGUGUGGGUUGUCGACCAGGUGAAUCCUCAGAUGGGCCACACAGGGCCAGCAUCCCCAUGAUGAGGUAGCAGGGGGCCCGGAGAAGUUCCCCAGCCAAAGAGCCUGGGUUGCUUCAGCCUUGCAGCUCUGGUGGAGGGUCGUCCGUUCAGAGCACUAGCAACUUCCUCGUUAGGAUGCAGACUCUUUAAACUUUUAUUAAAGGGAUUGUCUGUGCUGACAUUUAGCUAGCACCAGAUGUUGGCUUUUCGUUAGCAGUGUGGAGGUGGCAUAGCUAAUAAAGGCGAGGGUAAGAGACUUGUGUGAAGCUGUCAGAUGCGGCUUUGUGUGCUGCAGCCUGCGUGAUGUCUGUCGCGUCUUCAUGGGCCAGUGUUCUACAAGAAGGCCGGUGUUUCUCUUCUUCCUUUUCUUCUGCACUCUUGACUGGCCAAGUGUUUUCCAAGCGCUUGUCUUUGUCAGGUGGCGUUGCUCAUUUGUUACGUGCUAGCUAAUGCAGUCAGGGUACAAAGGUAGCUCAGUGGCAGUUUGUUUUAUUCCUUGCAUUUUGAUAUUUCUUCUGCACAUAACUUUCCUGUAGAUCAUACUUCUCCCCCUCAACCUCUUUUCACCAUCCCCUCCCUCAGAAAAUGUCAGCAACCGAUUGUUUCCUUUGCAGAGCCUAGAGCCCCUAGACAGAGGCUUUCCCAGCUUUAUGAAUGCACCGUUUGUUGCUGAGGGCACAACUGUUCGAUAUAACUGGCUGCAUCCCACUCUGCUUUGGACCAGCAUGCACUACAGCCAGUCUGUGCAUAAACCAGAUUUUUGUAUUAAAUGGCACCAUUUUGUCCGCAGCAGCAGUCUGUCUGUCUUUUGUGUGUGCGCGUGUGAGACUUGCAGCUUUCAGAUGCAAGAUGUAUAAAGAACAGUAGUUUCGCAGAAAUAAGUGUUACUCAGUGAGCGUGCACUGCCACUCGAAGGCUUCUUUUUCUCAGGGAGUUCCUGAUGAGUGAUAUUUCUUCCUUAUUUUGUGUGGGCGGACCAAGGCCAAAACAAGAUUUUAAAUGUUUUAUGAAGUGGAUACGGAGUGUAACAUUACAGAUGUAGUUGUGUUAUCGGGGGCACUCUCAGUUAUAACUUCAGUGGGAAUGCGUUUGGCACGUUGAACAUGUCUGUGCUUAUUUAUGUUUGCUCUGUUUCAUCGAACCGCUCUAUUCCCCCUCCUACCCACUUCUUAUUUUUGCUGGGGACUGUAUAGAUGUGGCGAAUUGAAGAUGCUGUGCGCUUCAUUUAUGUCUAAGGAAAUGGCACCCGAUGUGAAACCUGGUGCUUCUCUUUGGUGCCCUCCCCAGUUACUCCCUGCCUAAGGUCAGUGUAGUUUGGCCAUGGCACAGGCCUGCAGCCCUCAGCUGUACUGUGCCUGGGGCUGCAGGAGGGGCUGCGUGGCACGGAGCUCCAUCACAGCCACAAGGGAGGCUGUGUGAGGCUCUGUCCCCGGCAGCUAAAUCACUGCUCAUCGACGCUCUCUGCUUGCUGCCUUUCUCACAAUGCCUGGCAUUUCUCCUCAGAAGCACAGUGCCCUCUUCUCAUCGCUCUGCUUACUUACCUGCUGAGUGCCUCCAACAAAUAAGAACACCUCCAAAGCAGCCCCGCCACCUCGGAGCUUGUACUAUGUCGAAAUCCUUUCCAUGCUCCUCCACUGUAUUUAAUAAGCAGGGGAAACUAGUAGCACCCACUUGUGAGAGGGCUGUGGUGGAGAAGAUGAGGAUUCCCCACCUCGCCCUCUUUUGGAUACCUGCUCUGAGCAUUGGGCAGGUUUGACUGAAACGUAAUCAUCCCCCCACCAAAAAGAAAUAUGUACAACUUUACAGCCCACCCUGACCGUGUUCCUCUCUAUAUUCACUGCCUACGUAACAUUACCCACGGGAUGCGGGUGGGAGGAGGAAACUUCUUCUCUUUCAUGUGACUGCAGCACAGUUAAGAAUUGCAGCAGGCUUUAGGGGCUUGCGUGACCAAAGUGAUAGAUGCAGUGGGUUUCUAGUAACUGGGGGGGAGUUUCUCAGGCACAUCUCCAUGUCUCAGCUUCCCGGUGGACCCCACGGAAGGAUGCAGAUCUGCUCUCCAUGUGAUUGCUCAUUUGUUAGGAGCUGGCAAGUGCAUAGUGUGCAGAGACAAAGGCUGCCCUGGCCUGAAAAGCCCCCAAAGACAAGUUGUGUAGUAAAUACAUCUGUAAAGCAGCGUCUGAGUUACAGGCUGCCUGCGGCUCACGCACUUACA